GCUGGUUUAGCUCAGUGGAUAGAGCUUCAGCCUGUGGGCUGAAGUUACCAGGUUCAAUUCCAGUAAAGGGCA
rnacentral:tRNA from 1 species